rnacentral:rRNA from 1 species
ACUCCUACGGGAGGCAGCAGUGGGGAAUAUUGCACAAUGGGGGAAACCCUGAUGCAGCCAUGCCGCGUGUGUGAAGAAGGCCUUCGGGUUGUAAAGCACUUUCAGUAGGGAGGAAGGUAGUGUAGUUAACACCUGCAUUAUUUGUACGUUACCUACAGAAGAAGCACCGGCUAACUCCGUGCCAGCAGCCGCGGUAAGUACGGAGGGUGCGAGCGUUAAUCGGAAUUACGUGGGCGUAAAGCGCAUGCAGGCGGCCUGUUAAGUCAGAUGUGAAAGCCCGGGGUCGUUAACCUCGGAAUUGCAUUUGAAACUGGCAGGCUAGAGUCUUGUAGAGGGGUUAGAAUUUCAGGUGUAGCGGUGAAAUGCGUAGAGAUCUGAAGG